rnacentral:rRNA from 1 species
UACGUAGGGUGCGAGCGUUGUCCGGAAUUACUGGGCGUAAAGAGCUCGUAGGUGGUUUGUCGCGUUGUUCGUGAAAUCUCACGGCUUAACUGUGAGCGUGCGGGCGAUACGGGCAGACUGGAGUACUGCAGGGGAGACUGGAAUUCCUGGUGUAGCGGUGGAAUGCGCAGAUAUCAGGAGGAACACCGGUGGCGAAGGCGGUUCUCUGGGCCUUACCUGACGCUGAGGAGCGAAAGCGUGGGGAGCGAACAGG